AACGAACGCUGGCGGCGUGCCUAACACAUGCAAGUCGAACGAGGCCUUCGGGUCUAUUGGCGCACGGGUGCGUAACGCGUGGGAAGCUGCCCUUAGGUUCGGAAUCACUCCCUGAAAGGGGUGCUAAUACCGGAUAAUUUCUUCGGACCAAAGAUUUAUCGCCUUUGGAUGGGCCCGCGUUGGAUUAGCUAGUUGGUAGGGUAAAAGCCUACCAAGGCGACGUUCCAUAGCUGGUCUGAGAGGAUGAUCAGGCACACUGGGACUGAGACACGGCCCAGACUCCUACGGGAGGCAGCAGAGGGGAAUAUAGGACAAUGGGGGAAGGCCUGAUCCAGCAAUGCCGGGUAAGUGAUGAAGGCGGUAGGGUUGUAAAGCUCUUUUACCCGGGAUGAUAAUGACAGUACCGGGAGAAUAAGCACCGGCUAACUCCGUG
rnacentral:rRNA from 1 species